AUGCAAGUCGAGCGGACAGAUGGGAGCUUGCUCCCUGAUGUUAGCGGCGGACGGGUGAGUAACACGUGGGUAACCUGCCUGUAAGACUGGGAUAACUCCGGGAAACCGGGGCUAAUACCGGAUGGUUGUUUGAACCGCAUGGUUCAAACAUAAAAGGUGGCUUCGGCUACCACUUACAGAUGGACCCGCGGCGCAUUAGCUAGUUGGUGAGGUAACGGCUCACCAAGGCAACGAUGCGUAGCCGACCUGAGAGGGUGAUCGGCCACACUGGGACUGAGACACGGCCCAGACUCCUACGGGAGGCAGCAGUAGGGAAUCUUCCGCAAUGGACGAAAGUCUGACGGAGCAACGCCGCGUGAGUGAUGAAGGUUUUCGGAUCGUAAAGCUCUGUUGUUAGGGAAGAACAAGUACCGUUCGAAUAGGGCGGUACCUUGACGGUACCUAACCAGAAAGCCACGGCUAACUACGUGCCAGCAGCCGCGGUAAUACGUAGGUGGCAAGCGUUGUCCGGGAAUUAUUGGGCGUAAAGGGCUCGCAGGCGGUUUCUUAAGUCUGAUGUGAAAGCCCCCGGCUCAACCGGGGAGGGUCAUUGGAAACUGGGGAACUUGAGUGCAGAAGAGGAGAGUGGAAUUCCACGUGUAGCGGUGAAAUGCGUAGAGAUGUGGAGGAACACCAGUGGCGAAGGCGACUCUCUGGUCUGUAACUGACGCUGAGGAGCGAAAGCGUGGGGAGCGAACAGGAUUAGAUACCCUGGUAGUCCACGCCGUAAACGAUGAGUGCUAAGUGUUAGGGGGUUUCCGCCCCUUAGUGCUGCAGCUAACGCAUUAAGCACUCCGCCUGGGGAGUACGGUCGCAAGACUGAAACUCAAAGGGAAUUGACGGGGGCCCGCACAAGCGGUGGAGCAUGUGGGUUUAAUUCGAAGCAACGCGAAGAACCUUACCAGGUCUUGACAUCCUCUGACAAUCCUAGAGAUAGGACGUCCCCUUCGGGGGCAGAGUGACAGGUGGUGCAUGGUUGUCGUCAGCUCGUGUCGUGAGAUGUUGGGUUAAGUCCCGCAACGAGCGCAACCCUUGAUCUUAGUUGCCAGCAUUCAGUUGGGCACUCUAAGGUGACUGCCGGUGACAAACCGGAGGAAGGUGGGGAUGACGUCAAAUCAUCAUGCCCCUUAUGACCUGGGCUACACACGUGCUACAAUGGACAGAACAAAGGGCAGCGAAACCGCGAGGUUAAGCCAAUCCCACAAAUCUGUUCUCAGUUCGGAUCGCAGUCUGCAACUCGACUGCGUGAAGCUGGAAUCGCUAGUAAUCGCGGAUCAGCAUGCCGCGGUGAAUACGUUCCCGGGCCUUGUACACACCGCCCGUCACACCACGAGAGUUUGUAACACCCGAAGUCGGUGAGGUAACCUUUAGAGCCAGC
rnacentral:rRNA from 1 species